rnacentral:snRNA from 1 species
AGAUGAGCUCAACGAGAACA